rnacentral:rRNA from 1 species
GACGAACCGUGCGAACGUUGUUCGGAAUCACUGGGCUUAAAGGGCGCGUAGGCGGCCAACUAAGUCGGAUGUGAAAUCCCCAGGCUCAACUUGGGAACUGCAUCCGAUACUGGAUGGCUUGAAUCCGGGAGAGGGAUGCAGAAUUCCAGGUGUAGCGGUGAAAUGCGUAGAGAUCCGGAGGAACACCAGUGGCGAAAGCGGCCACCUGGACUGUACCUGACGCUGAAACGCGAAAGCUAGGGGAGCGAACGGG